CCUACGGGAGGCAGCAGUGAGGAAUAUUGGUCAAUGGACGCGAGUCUGAACCAGCCAAGUAGCGUGCAGGAUGACUGCUCUACGAGUUGUAAACUUCUUUUAUAAAGGGAUAAAGUGAGACACGUGUGCCUUGUUGUAUGUACUUUAUGAAUAAGGAUCGGCUAACUCCGUGCCAGCAGCCGCGGUAAUACGGAGGAUCCGAGCGUUAUCCGGAUUUAUUGGGUUUAAAGGGAGCGUAGAUGGGUUGUUAAGUCAGUUGUGAAAGUGUGCGGCUCAACCGUAAAACUGCAAUUGAUACUGGCAGCCUUGAGGACAGUUGAGGUAGGCGGAAUGCGUGGUGUAGCGGUGAAAUGCUUAGAUAUCACGAAGAACACCGAUUGCGAAGGCAGCUUACCAAACUGUCACUGACAUUGAUGCUCGAAAGUGUGGGUAGCAAACAGGAUUAGAUACCCGAGUAGUC
rnacentral:rRNA from 1 species